CGGCCGCAUCACGUUGAAACAUCGGUUCCCGUACUAUCACAAAAGUUAAGCAAUGUCGAGCUUAGUCAAUACCUAGAUGGGUGUCCACUUGGAAAUACCAGGUGUUGUAAG